rnacentral:rRNA from 1 species
GACGUAGGGGGCUAGCGUUGUCCGGAUUUAUUGGGCGUAAAGAGCGUGUAGGCGGCCGGGUAAGUCCGGUGUGAAAACUCGAGGCUCAACCUCGAGACGUCGGCGGAAACCAUCUGGCUAGAGUCCGGAAGAGGAGAGUGGAAUUCCUGGUGUAGCGGUGAAAUGCGCAGAUAUCAGGAAGGAACACCCAGUGGCGAAGGCGGC